GAACUACUCCAGAGCCUGAAGCCUCUUAAGAUGUCUGCUCACCCAACCUCAGCAGCACCCACAGCCCAGCAGGGUCCAACCUCACCAGCAUUACUCAGUCCACAUGCCUUCUCACUCUUCACACUGCCCACACUGGACUUCAAAAGCUCCUCUAUCCAGUCAGUAGCCUCUGUUCUUUGUCUUCUCACAGAGCCCUGACCUGGCAGACACUCUGGAUCUUUCACCCCAUGUAGAGGUACUACCAUGGGAAAGAGAGCUCACACUGACCUCAAAGGAAUCCGGGGAUGACUCCCAAACCCAAGGUGCCUGGUCUGUGGGACACCUGCCUGUUGUCUCUGAACAUCACACCCGCCCAUGAUGUCCUGGGGAACAAGGGGAACUUCCUCAGCAGAUGGGACAGGAGAAAGCAGGAUCUGGCGUUGCUUUCAUCUCAGAGGACUGAGGGUCCACAGGGGCCUCCCCUCCCCUAACAGAGGGACCCACAGCUCCUGUGGUUGACACGCCAAGUGGAGUGGCUUCAGAUCCUGGGCCCUGUGGGGAGGACUACCAUAGAGAAUGGACAGGGACACAGGUGACUUGGAUGCAACACCCCAAGGCAAUGAUGGAGACGCACAGAGCAUUUAGAGGAUCAGCCCUCCAGUUUGGCACACUCUACUAAAAACCUCAGAAGAGACAUCACCAGGUCCUGUUCUUGAAACCUAUGGGACAGAGAGUUCCUCCUGAAACAGGACAUCGACCAUAGAGGACAGUUCUAAUGACACUAGACUCAUAAUCCUCUGGACCCUCAACCUCUCUGAGAUGAAGGCAGCCCCAUAUCCUGUCCUUUUACUGGGCUGACCCUGCUCUGAGAUGGAGUCAGGAGGCCUCGAGCCCACAGUGACUGGACCCCGACUGACUGGCCUUUAAGCUUGAAGGCCAGAGCCCACCUCUACCAAGGUGUCAGGGUCAGCUCUCAUUCUCUGGUCAGCAUCCCUGGUGCAGCACCUGACAUUGGCUGCAGGUCAUCUUCUGCUCUCCAGGGGGCGACAUUUAGACACACAGACAAUACAGGGAAUUCACACAUGAACCUGGCUUUGCCUAAGGAGCUGGAGAAGGAGCCUGAUUUCCAUCCCCUGCUCCCAAAGAUGCUUUUGGACUCCGCCCUCAUGAUUGCUGUAUCCCACCUGCUACUUCUAGGGACUGUGAAUAAAACAACAACAACAACAAAAAUGGGCUGUAAAUAAGCCUGACAAGCCCAGCAGGACACAUGGCAGUCCUGACAUGCUCAGGGACCAAAAAUAACUGCACAGGAUGGUCUGAUCACAAAUUCCUUACUGGGCAGGUGAUGGCAGGGAGUCAUGUCCCAGGCCUACAGCUUCGUUAGCAAAGGUCAGACGUUACGUUAAGUGAGCCCUGUUCCCUGUUCUUAUGCAUCUUGGAUAACAUACCUUUGAUACAUCAGAGUAGUUGUUCUUUUGCAAGACGAUUUGAAGGCACAAGACUCUGGGACCAGCAUAUGAGACAACAUACUUCUUAGGUUACCUGGUUCCUUGCACAACCUCUCUAUGUGCUGUAAAUGUUAAUUAGCCUGGACCCAUCAAAGUAAAGAAAAAAAACAAAAAAAAAACUGUUUCUCCAUUUUGCUAUUUAUCAAUUCUAGAGAUUUCUUCACUUCCUAAUGGUUUUCACACAACCUAUUCCAUCUUCUGUUUUUUAUUAUAAUGUAUAAAAUCAGUUGCACAACUGCCAAGCUAAGAUUUGAGAUCUUGUUCCAGGCAUAUGAUGUUAGCUUGGUUCAAAUAAACUCAUGAAAAUUU